UACCUGAGUAAAGCGGCGCACGGGUGAGUAACACGUGGAUAACCUGCCUCGAAGUGGGGAAUAACACCGGGAAACCGGUGCUGAUACCGCAUAUACUGAUAAGAUCUGCGGAUUUUAUCAGGAAAGGAGCAAUUCGCUUUGAGAGGGGUCCGCGGCUGAUUAGCUAGUUGGUGAGGUAAUGGCCCACCAAGGCAACGAUCAGUAGCCGGUCUGAGAGGACGGUCGGCCACACUGGAACUGAGACACGGUCCAGACUCCUACGGGAGGCAGCAGUGGGAAAUUUUUCGCAAUGGGGGAAACCCUGACGAAGCAAUGCCACGUGAGUGAUGAAGUCUCUUGGGACGUAAAACCCUUUCGACGGGGACGAAGCCGCAAGGUUGACGGUACCCGUAGAAGAAGCCCCGGCUAACUCCGUGCCAGCAGCCGCGGUAAUACGGGGGGGGGCAAGCGUUGUUCGGAAUUACUGGGCGUAAAGGGUGCGUAGGCGGCUCUCUAAGUCGGAUGUGAAAGCUCUGGGCUCAACCCAGAGACUGCAUCCGAAACUGGAGGGCUAGGGUUCUGGAGGGGAAAGCGGAAUUCCCGGUGUAGCGGUGAAAUGCGUAGAUAUCAAGAGGAACACCGGUGGCGAAGCGGCUUUCUGGACAGACACCGACGCUGANGCACGA
rnacentral:rRNA from 1 species